AUGGCCAUGAGGUCCCCUGUGCAGCUCCUGGGACUGCUGCUGCUCUGGUUUCCAGGUGUGAGAUGUGACAUUGUGAUGACUCAGUCACCAUCUUUGCUCUCUGUGUCUCUGGGAGACAGAACUACAAUCACUUGCCAUGCCAGUCAGAACAUUAAGAGUUGGUUAGCCUGGUAUCAGCAGAAACCAGGGAAGGCUCCUAAACUCCUAAUCUACAAGGCAUCCAGCCUUCAAACUGGAGUGCCAUCGAGGUUCAGUGGCAGUGGAUCUGGCACAGAUUUUUCACUCACCAUUGGCAGCUUGGAGUCUGAAGAUAUUGCUACUUAUUACUGUCUACAAUACGAUGUAUAUCCUCCCACAGUGAUUCAAGUCAUAACAUAA